AGACCAGACCAGGACCAGACCAUAACAGACCAGAGGAGCAGGAUCAUAAAUCAGCACCAGGCAGGUAGAGGAGCAGGAUCAUACAUCAGCACCAGGCAGGUAGAGGAGCAGGAUCAUACAUCAGCACCAGGCAGGUAGAGGAGCAGGAUCAUACAUCAGCACCACGCAGGUAGAGGAGCAGGAUCAAACAUCAGCACCAGGCAGGUAGAGGAGCAGGAUCAAACAUCAGCACCAGGCAGGUAGAGGAGCAGGAUCAUACAUCAGCACCAGGCAGGUAGAGGAGCAGGAUCAUACAUCAGCACCAGGCAGGUAGAGGAGCAGGAUCAUACAUCAGCACCAGGCAGGUAGAGGAGCAGGAUCAUACAUCAGCACCAGGCAGGUAGAGGAGCAGGAUCAUACAUCAGCACCAGGCAGGUAGAGGAGCAGGAUCAAACAUCAGCACCAGGCAGGUAGAGGAGCAGGAUCAUACAUCAGCACCAGGCAGGUAGAGGAGCAGGAUCAAACAUCAGCACCAGGCAGGUAGAGGAGCAGGAUCAUACAUCAGCACCAGGCAGGUAGAGGAGCAGGAUCAUACAUCAGCACCAGGCAGGUAGAGGAGCAGGAUCAUACAUCAGCACCAGGCAGGUAGAGGAGCAGGAUCAUACAUCAGCACCAGGCAGGUAGAGGAGCAGGAUCAAACAUCAGCACCAGGCAGGUAGAGGAGCAGGAUCAUACAUCAGCACCAGGCAGGUAGAGGAGCAGGAUCAUACAUCAGCACCAGGCAGGUAGAGGAGCAGGAUCAAACAUCAGCACCAGGCAGGUAGAGGAGCAGGUGUAGAGGAGGAAGAGAUGAGGAGCCGGAGGAGAGGAGAGGGGAAGGAGGUGAGGAAAGUAGAGGGGGAGGUGGAAAGGGGAAGGAGGUGAGGAAAGUAGAGGGGGAGGGGGAGAGGAGAAGGAGGUGAGGAAAGUAGAGGGGGAGGGGGAGAGGAGAAGGAGGUGAGGAAAGUAGAGGGGGAGGGGGAGAGGAGAAGGAGGUGAGGAAAGUAGAGGGGGAGGGGGAGAGGAGAAGGAGGUGAGGAAAGUAGAGGGGGAGGGGAGAGGAGAAGGAGGUGAGGAAAGUAGAGGGGGAGGGGAGAGGAGAAGGAGGUGAGGAAAGUAGAGGGGGAGGGGAGAGGAGAAGGAGGUGAGGAAAGUAGAGGGGGAGGGGAGAGGAGAAGGAGGUGAGGAAAGUAGAGGGGGAGGGGAGAGGAGAAGGAGGUGAGGAAAGUAGAGGGGGAGGGGAGAGGAGAAGGAGGUGAGGAAAGUAGAGGGGGAGGGGAGAGGAGAAGGAGGUGAGGAAAGUAGAGGGGGAGGGGAGAGGAGAAGGAGGUGAGGAAAGUAGAGGGGGAGGGGAGAGGAGAAGGAGGUGAGGAAAGUAGAGGGGGAGGGGAGAGGAGAAGGAGGUGAGGAAAGUAGAGGGGGAGGGGAGAGGAGAAGGAGGUGAGGAAAGUAGAGGGGGAGGGGAAGGAAAAAUGAAAGGAGGAGAAACAAACAUCAUAAAGGGUAAACGUGCACCUACAUAUACUGUACACAUGCACCCACACACUUCCACUCCCCCA